UCGUUGUUGCAGUUAAAAAGCUCGUAGUUGAAGUGUGGGUGGUGCUGUCUGAAUGACUUCGGUUAGUCAGAUGAUCACUACCCCCUUCCAGUAUCCAGUAGUGGGUAUUCAGUUACUUACUAUUGUGUGUUGGUCGUUUACUGUGAGAAAAUUAGAGUGUUCAAAGCAGGCGUUUGCUUGAAUAGAUUAGCAUGGAAUAAUAAUUGAAGGCUUUCGUGUUCGAUUUGAUUGGUUUGUUCAUGGAAGCAAGGUUAAAAGGAACAGUUGGGGGUAUUCAUAUUCACUAGUUAGAGGUGAAAUUCUCGGAUUUAUGGAAGAUGAACAAGUGCGAAAGCAUUUACCAAGGAUGUUUUCAUUAAUCA
rnacentral:rRNA from 1 species